rnacentral:rRNA from 1 species
CGGAACGGGUGAGUAACGCGUGAGGAACCUGCCUCAAAGAGGGGGACAACAGUUGGAAACGACUGCUAAUACCGCAUAAGCCCACGGCUCGGCAUCGAGCAGAGGGAAAAGGAGUGAUCCGCUUUGAGAUGGCCUCGCGUCCGAUUAGCUAGUUGGUGAGGUAACGGCCCACCAAGGCAACGAUCGGUAGCCGGACUGAGAGGUUGAACGGCCACAUUGGGACUGAGACACGGCCCGG